rnacentral:rRNA from 1 species
UACGGAGGGUGCAAACGUUGCUCGGAAUUAUUGGGCGUAAAGCGCGUGUAGGCUGCUAGAUAAGUCAGAUGUGAAAUCCCUAGGCUUAACCAAGGAACUGCGUUUGAUACUGUCUGGCUAGAGUGCGAGAGAGGAUAGCGGAAUUCCCGGUGUAGAGGUGAAAUUCGUAGAUAUCGGGAGGAACACCAGUGGCGAAGGCGGCUAUCUGGAUCGCUACUAACGCUGAGACGCGAAAGCGUGGGGAGCAAACAGG